rnacentral:rRNA from 1 species
AUUGAACGCUAGCGGGAUGCUUUACACAUGCAAGUCGAACGAGUGGCGGACGGGUGAGUAAUGUAUGGGGCUCUGCCCGAUAGAGGGGGAUAACUACUCGAACGAGUGGCUAAUACCGCAUACUAUUGGAGCGGCCGAUAUCGGAUUGGCUAGUUGGUGGGGUAAAGGCUCACAAGGGCAAAGAUCCGUAGCUGGUUUGAAAGGCCAACGGGCCACACUGGGACUGAGACACGGCCCAGACUCCUACGGGAGGCAGCAGUGGGGAACUUUGGACAAUGGGGGAAACCCUGCUCCAGCCAUCCCGCGUGUAUGAGAAGGCUUUCGGGUUGUAAAGUACGUUUGGCAGGGAAGCGGUAUCUGCAGAAUAAGCACCGGCUAACUACGUGCCAGCCGCCGCGGUAAUAC